GAGUGAUCUAGCCAUGAGCAGGUUGAAGGUGCGGUAACACGUACUGGAGGACCGAACCCACUUAUGUUGAAAAAUGAGGGGAUGACCUGUGACUAGGGGUGAAAGGCCAAUCAAACUCGGAAAUAGCUCGUACUCCCCGAAAUGCAUUUAGGUGCAGCGUUGAGCGAAAGUUUUAUAGAGGUAGAGCUACUGAUUGGAUGCGGGGGCUUCACCGCCUACCAAUUCCUGACAAACUCCGAAUGCUAUAAAAUGAUGCACAGCAGUGAGGGCAUGGGUGCUAAGGUCCAUGUCCGAGAGGGAAAGAACCCAGACCAUCAGCUAAGGUCCCAAAAUAUAUGUUAAGUUGAAUAAACGAGGUUGGAUUGCACAGACAGCUAGGAUGUUGGCUUGGAAGCAGCCAUUCAUUUAAAGAGUGCGUAACAGCUCACUGGUCGAGCGGUCCCGCAUGGAUAAUGAUCGGGCAUAAGCACAUUACCGAAGCUAUGGCAUCGAAAGAUGGGUAGGGGAGCAUUCUGUUCGGCGCCGAAGGUGCACUGUGAGGUGUGCUGGAGCGUACAGAAACGAAAAUGUAGGCAUAAGUAACGAUAAUGCGGGCGAGAAACCCGCACACCGAAAGACUAAGGUUUCCUCAGCGAUGCUAAUCAGCUGAGGGUUAGUCGGGACCUAACGCGAACCCGAAAGGGGUAGUGGAUGGACAACAGGUUAAUAUUCCUGUACCUGCUCACACUAAACGUGACGGAGGCGAAAAGUUAGUGCGUACUGACGGAAUAGUACGUUGAAGGGAUUGGUAACAACCCGAUAGUACACUAAGGCUACGGCCGCGGUGAUAAUCUAGCAAAUCGACUUCCAAGAAAAGCAAGUGAAGCAGCCCGUACCCUAAACCGCCACAGGUAGU
rnacentral:rRNA from 1 species